rnacentral:rRNA from 1 species
UACGUAGGGUGCAAGCGUUGUCCGGAAUUAUUGGGCGUAAAGAGCUCGUAGGCGGUUUGUCGCGUCUGCUGUGAAAUCUGGGGGCUCAACCCCCAGCCUGCAGUGGGUACGGGCAGACUAGAGUGCGGUAGGGGAGACUGGAAUUCCUGGUGUAGCGGUGAAAUGCGCAGAUAUCAGGAGGAACACCGGUGGCGAAGGCGGGUCUCUGGGCCGUAACUGACGC